rnacentral:snoRNA from 1 species
ACAACUAUGAUGUUCUUAGCUCACAUUGAUUAAUGAUUAAAUCAUAUAAACUGAGCUUUGUUAGUAU